rnacentral:misc_RNA from 1 species
GUAAAAGCUAGUUAUUUCUUUGAAUUGUGGUGGAGUUUUGGUUCAGUAGUCUGGGCGUGGCGCAGCCAGAGCAGCUCUGCGCUCCAAGGUCCUGUGGUGGUGAGCGUCUCGCCUCACCAGAGGUGGACUGGCGAUGGAUGCCAAGAUGCCAGCUUUCAAACACCAGGUCCCAGAAUCAAUGUGUCUCCGGAAUGGCACGACAGAAAGUCCGACCCGCCUACGAGCUGCUGUCUGCUUCGUGCGGUCUGGCCGCACAGACGUACUCGGUGCAUGCCCGGAAAGGAGAAAGAGACAGCCUUCCUCUUCACCAUUGACAGCGGCAUGGACGUCCUCAACAGCGGCCAUCCGAGGGACGCCAAAACACUGCGGAGAGACUGCUCCAGCACUCCCGGGCAGGAGGACGCCCUCUCUAAGCUGGUGGAAGAGGUGGAGGGACUGCGCUUCGGCUCAGCUGGUCACCUCCUCCCGUUCCAGAAGGGUCUGGUAGUGACAGUGAAGGCGGUGCGGGGUCUGCUCGCUGACGUGCAGCAGCGUUUUGGCCCGGACUGCUAACUGCUACUCCGCCACGUCACCCAGAACCGGCUUUAGGGCUCGUUCAGCCACAUCCGCGGCUCUGGCGGCGGAAGCCCCAACCACACGACGACAGAGGUGAAGGGGCGCCUCCGCCUGUUCACUCUGAUCCAGCUUGCGCGUCACGGGCCCACGGCGUGCAGAUUAAGAGUCGCUCACCCGCGGCGCUCCCGGUACCAGCGGCGGAGGCGGAGGCGGGGGCAGAGCCGGGGGCAGAGCCGGAGGCAGACGAGGACCAAGCCGACCAGGCGCAGAUGGUGUGCUGGAGGCGGUAUGCCCUGAGCCGCCCCAAGAAGUUCCUGAGGGGACGGAGAGCCUGGAGCCCGUUCCUGACGAGCCAGCCCCGGACGCAGAGGAGGAGGCGGAGCAGGAGAGGGCGCAGCUACUGCGGGAGGCCGAGACAGUGCAUAUACCGCCUGCGCCCUCAGCGGCGUUGGACGCUGAGAUUGGUGUGCCGGCCACCGAAGGUGCAAUGGCGCAUCUGGCCGGCUACAUCGCCAGAAAAUGCGGCCCCAGCUUCGGCGCGCUGGCGAUGGCAUCUGAGGACGCGCCAGUUCAGACGCUCUGGACUCGACUGCGCAGCGCGGCCGGCGGACUCACGAUCCCCUCCCAGCCCUGCUUAGACCUGUUUAAUCAGCUCGAGGCGGAGUUCAUAUAUGUUUCACGUGUUCGCUGAAGUGUCUUGAAAAUGCCGGCGACAGCGGCGGGGCGCAUCUGAUCGGCACAAUGUUACAGAUCAGGAUCCGUCCUGUCUGGAGGUAGUCGGACCGGUGUUUGUCUAGCCAGAUGUACUCCAUCGUAUCACUGAUGUUCAUCUGUAAGGCUGUGUUCUUGCCUAAUGCUGCUUCCACCCAUUCAGUCAGUUUUGAAUUGUAAUAGAGGAAGCCAGACGUCAUAGAUGUCUUCGUUUAAGGGAUUGUUUUCGCAUGUCAUGCAUCGGAAAUACAAUCAAAAUAGAAUUAAUUGAUGAUCAGCUAUGCAACCGCAAAUCAGCAGCAUCGAAUCUAUGUACAGUAUUUUUAUGCACUUCUACAACCGAAGUGAUCCGACGAAACACCAGCGACCAUCAGCCAAAAUAUAACUUAUAUGCCCUGGAA